CCUACGGGAGGCAGCAGUAGGGAAUCUUCCACAAUGGGCGAAAGCCUGAUGGAGCAACGCCGCGUGGGUGAAGAAGGUCUUCGGAUCGUAAAACCCUGUUGUUAGAGAAGAAAGUGCGUGAGAGUAACUGUUCACGUUUCGACGGUAUCUAACCAGAAAGCCACGGCUAACUACGUGCCCGCAGCCGCGGUAAUAAGUAGGGGGCAAGCGUUAUCCGGAUUUAUUGGGCGUAAAGGGAACGCAGGCGGUCUUUUAAGUCUGAUGUGAAAGCCUUCGGCUUAACCGGAGUAGUGCAUUGGAAACUGGGAGACUUGAGUGCAGAAGAGGAGAGUGGAACUCCAUGUGUAGCGGUGAAAUGCGUAGAUAGAUGGAAGAACACCAGUGGCGAAAGCGGCUCUCUGGUCUGUAACUGACGCUGAGGUUCGAAAGCGUGGGUAGCAAACAGGAUUAGAUACCCCAGUAGUC
rnacentral:rRNA from 1 species